rnacentral:rRNA from 1 species
GAUGAACGCUGGCGGCGUGCCUAAUACAUGCAAGUCGAGCGAACAGAUGAGGAGCUUGCUCCUCUGACGUUAGCGGCGGACGGGUGAGUAACACGUGGAUAACCUACCUAUAAGACUGGGAUAACUUCGGGAAACCGGAGCUAAUACCGGAUAAUAUAUUGAACCGCAUGGUUCAAUAGUGAAAGACGGUUUUGCUGUCACUUAUAGAUGGAUCCGCGCCGCAUUAGCUAGUUGGUAAGGUAACGGCUUACCAAGGCAACGAUGCGUAGCCGACCUGAGAGGGUGAUCGGCCACACUGUAACUGGGACACGGUCCAGACUCCUACGGGAGGCAGCAGUAGGGAAUCUUCCGCAAUGGGCGAAAGCCUGACGGAGCAACGCCGCGUGAGUGAUGAAGGUCUUCGGAUCGUAAAACUCUGUUAUUAGGGAAGAACAAAUGUGUAAGUAACUAUGCACGUCUUGACGGUACCUAAUCAGAAAGCCACGGCUAACUACGUG